UACGUAGGGUGCAAGCGUUGUCCGGAAUUAUUGGGCGUAAAGAGCUCGUAGGCGGUCUGUCGCGUCGGAUGUGAAAACUCGGGGCUCAACCCCGAGCCUGCAUUCGAUACGGGCAGACUAGAGUUCGGUAGGGGAGACUGGAAUUCCUGGUGUAGCGGUGAAAUGCGCAGAUAUCAGGAGAACACCCGUGGCGAAAGCGGCUCUCUGGAACGGUACUGACGCUGAGACGCGAAAGCGUGGGGAGCGAAACAGG
rnacentral:rRNA from 1 species